rnacentral:rRNA from 1 species
GUGUCGGACGUUACCAAACUGUUGCCUCGGCGGGGUCACGCCCCGGGUGCGUCGCAGCCCCGGAACCAGGCGCCCGCCGGAGGAACCAACCAAACUCUUUCUGUAGUCCCCUCGCGGACGUAUUUCUUACAGCUCUGAGCAAAAAUUCAAAAUGAAUCAAAACUUUCAACAACGGAUCUCUUGGUUCUGGCAUCGAUGAAGAACGCAGCGAAAUGCGAUAAGUAAUGUGAAUUGCAGAAUUCAGUGAAUCAUCGAAUCUUUGAACGCACAUUGCGCCCGCCAGUAUUCUGGCGGGCAUGCCUGUCCGAGCGUCAUUUCAACCCUCGAACCCCUCCGGGGGAUCGGCGUUGGGGAUCGGGACCCCUCACACGGGUGCCGGCCCCGAAAUACAGUGGCGGUCUCGCCGCAGCCUCUCCUGCGCAGUAGUUUGCACAACUCGCACCGGGAGCGCGGCGCGUCCACGUCCGUAAAACACCCAACUUUCUGAAAUGUUGACCUCGGAUCAGGUAGGAAUACCCGCUGAACUUAAGCAUAC